rnacentral:rRNA from 1 species
AUUGAACGCUGGCGGAAUGCUUUACACAUGCAAGUCGAGCGGCAGCGCGGGGCAACCUGGCGGCGAGCGGCGAACGGGUGAGUAACAUAUCGGAACGUAUCCAUAAGUGGGGGACAACCUAGCGAAAGUUAGGCUAAUACCGCAUACGCUCGAGAGAGGAAAGUGGGGGAUCGCAAGACCUCACGCUUUAGGAGCGGCCGAUAUCAGAUUAGCUAGAUGGUGAGGUAAAGGCUUACCAUGGCGACGAUCUGUAGCUGGUCUGAGAGGAUGAUCAGCCACACUGGGACUGAGACACGGCCCAGACUCCUACGGGAGGCAGCAGUGGGGAAUUUUGGGACAAUGGGGGCAACCCUGAUCCAGCCAUUCCGCGUGAGUGAAGAAGGCCUUCGGGUUGUAAAGGCUCUUUUGUCGGGGACGAUGAUGACGGUACCCGGUAUAAGAAGACCCCGGCAAACUUCGUGCCAGCAGCCGCGGUAA